UACAGAGGUCCCAAGCGUUGUUCGGAUUCACUGGGCGUAAAGGGUGCGUAGGUGGUGGGGUAAGUCGGAUGUGAAAGCUCGGAGCUCAACUCCGAAAUGGCAUUGGAAACUACCCUGCUAGAGGAUUGGAGGGGGGACUGGAAUACUUGGUGUAGCAGUGAAAUGCGUAGAUAUCAAGUGGAACACCAGUGGCGAAGGCGAGUCCCUGGACAAUAACUGACACUGAGGCACGAAAGCUAGGGGAGCAAACAGG
rnacentral:rRNA from 1 species